rnacentral:tRNA from 1 species
GCCGGAAAAGCUCAGUUGGGAGAGCGUUAGACUGAAGUUGUUUACGCAACAGUCAUCUAAAGGCCCCCGGUUCAAUCCCUGGUUCCGGCA